GAUGAACGCUGGCGGCGUGCCUAAUACAUGCAAGUCGAGCGAACAGACGAGGAGCUUGCUCCUUCGACGUUAGCGGCGGACGUGUGAGUAACACGUAGGUAACCUACCUAUAAGACUGGGAUAACUUCGGGAAACCGGAGCUAAUACCGGAUAAUAUUUCGAACCGCAUGGUUCGAUAGUGAAAGACGGCUUUGCUAUCACUUAUAGAUGGACCUGCGCCGUAUUAGCUAGUUGGUAAGGUAACGGCUUACCAAGGCAACGAUACGUAGCCGACCUGAGAGGGUGAUCGGCCACACUGGAACUGAGACACGGUCCAGACUCCUACGGGAGGCAGCAGUAGGGAAUCUUCCGCAAUGGGCGAAAGCCUGACGGAGCAACGCCGCGUGAGUGAUGAAGGCCUUCGGAUCGUAAAACUCUGUUAUUAGGGAAGAACAAACGUGUAAGUAACUGUGCACGUCUUGACGGUACCUAAUCAGAAAGCCACGGCUAACUACGUG
rnacentral:rRNA from 1 species